UACGGGGGGGGCGAGCGUUGUUCGGAAUUACUGGGCGUAAAGGGUGCGUAGGCGGUGCUCUAAGUCGGAUGUGAAAACUCUGGGCUCAACCCAGAGCCUGCAUCCGAAACUGGAGUGCUAGAGUUCUGGAGGGGGUAGCGGAAUUCCUGGUGUAGCGGUGAAAUGCGUAGAUAUCAGGAGGAACACUGGUGGCGAAGGCGGCUACCUGGACAGAAACUGACGCUGAGGCACGAAAGCUAGGGGAGCAAACAGG
rnacentral:rRNA from 1 species